rnacentral:rRNA from 1 species
GACGAACGCUGGCGGCGUGCCUAACACAUGCAAGUCGAGCGAUGAAAUUCCCUUCGGGGAAUGGAUUAGCGGCGGACGGGUGAGUAACACGUGGGCAACCCGCCUCAAAGUGGGGAAUAGCCCUCCGAAAGGAGGAGUAAUACCGCAUAACAUGGUAAAAUCGCAUGAUUUAAUCAUUAAAGAUUUAUCGCUUUGAGAUGGGCCCGCGGCGCAUUAGCUAGUUGGUAAGGUAAUGGCUUACCAAGGCGACGAUGCGUAGCCGACCUGAGAGGGUGAUCGGCCACAUUGGAACUGAGAUACGGUCCAGACUCCUACGGGAGGCAGCAGUGGGGAAUAUUGCGCAAUGGGGGAAACCCUGACGCAGCAACGCCGCGUGGGUGAUGAAGGUCUUCGGAUUGUAAAACCCUGUCUUUGGGGACGAUAAUGACGGUACCCAAGGAGGAAGCCACGGCUAACUACGUGCCAGCCGCCGCAGUAACAC